GCACACGAGACCCCAGUGGGCCAGGACUGACUUCCUCCCCACACAGAGCUGGGCGGGGCAAGCAGGAAGGGGCCUGUUACAGUCAAGGUGACGCAUCCUUGCCAGGCCAGCCCGAGCAGCAGCUGGGUCCACAAGCGACAGGAGCACGGGUCCUCUUUCCCCCAAGGGCGUCGGAAUGGACCUGUGCCACCACGAGCCCACGGAGCUGAGCAGCGGGGAGGCAGAAGAGUUGCAGAGGAUCAAGUGGCACCGGAAGCAGCUCCUGGAGGACAUCCAGAAGCUAAAGGAUGAGAUCGCAGACGUGUUUGCCCAGAUCGACUGCUUCGAGAGUGCGGAGGAGAGCCGGAUGGCCCAGAAGGAGAAGGAGCUGUGCAUCGGGCGCAAGAAGUUCAACAUGGAGCCCGCAAAGGGCAUCCGGUAUUUCAUUGAGCAUAAGCUGCUGACGCCCGACAUCCAGGACAUCGCUCGGUUCCUGUAUAAAGGCGAGGGCCUCAACAAGACCGCCAUCGGGACCUACUUGGGGGAGAGGGACCCUGUCAACCUGCAGGUCCUCCAGGCCUUUGUGGACUGCCAUGAGUUCGCCAACCUCAACCUCGUCCAGGCCCUCAGGCAGUUUCUGUGGAGCUUCCGGCUGCCGGGCGAGGCCCAGAAGAUAGACCGGAUGAUGGAGGCCUUUGCUACUCGAUACUGCCUCUGCAACCCGGACGUCUUCCAGUCCACAGACACCUGCUACGUGCUGUCCUUCUCCAUCAUCAUGCUCAACACCAGCCUCCACAACCCCAACGUCCGGGACAAGCCGCCUUUCGAGCGCUUUGUGUCCAUGAACCGUGGCAUCAACAAUGGCAGCGACCUGCCGGAGGACCAGCUGCGGAACCUCUUCGACAGCAUCAAGAGCGAGCCCUUCUCCAUUCCCGAGGACGACGGCAAUGACCUCACUCACACCUUCUUCAACCCAGACCGGGAGGGCUGGCUGCUCAAGCUGGGAGGACUGAUCUGCUUGCUGCACUGGCCUCCCACAGGGGGCCGCGUGAAGACGUGGAAACGGCGCUGGUUCAUCCUGACCGACAACUGCCUCUACUACUUCGAGUUCACCACGGACAAGGAGCCACGGGGAAUCAUACCCCUUGAGAACCUCUCCGUGCAGAAGGUGGACGACCCCAAGAAGCCAUUCUGCCUUGAGCUCUACAACCCCAGCUGCCGAGGCCAGAAAAUCAAGGCCUGCAAGACUGACGGCGACGGCAGGGUGGUGGAAGGCAAACACGAGUCCUACCGCAUCUCAGCCGCCAGUGCCGAGGAGCGCGACCAGUGGAUUGAGGCCAUCCGGUAAGGGGUGUCCACCUCCGGGGACGGCUGCCCGUCGCCUUCCAGAAGGCCCUGCUGCUUUGAGGUCUUGCUUCCUUGUGUGUAAAGGGGGCUAACUCCAGCCUCUCCCUCCUGUCUCCGGCCUGCUAAUCCCUUCCACCUGUAUUCCAUAGGCACCUCCUGUGUGCGCGCCAGGCCAGGCCCCAGGACACAGGGAAGGGAGAGGCCCAGUGGCGGGGGUUGGUGGGAGAAUAGAGCACAGAGUUGCGCAUAAAGCUCUUGCCCCGCCCUUGCCUGGGAACUGCUCUUGUUGGCAUCAGGGUCCGAAGUAGCCUGGGAAGGACCUGGUAGGGGUGGAGGAAAGGGCUUUCAAGCUAAACUUCCAGGUAAAAGUACCGGUGUGGGCAAUCAGCAGACGCCCACCUGCACCGCAUCCCAGAGUCCAGGUGAGGCUGGGCAGUGCGGGAGCCGGAACUGCUGAGCAUGGCAAGGCCACAGCCACUGUGGUAAAGAGCUUCCGUUUCUCCUGGGGCACUGGGGAGCCACAGACUGAUAAAUAGCGAGGGUGGCUAGGUGAGGAAGGCCAAAGUGUAGGGUCUGGUUCUGUGGUGCCACUGACAGGAGAGACACAAGGAAGACGCACCUGGUAAAGGGCGAGAUGGCGAACCUGCUCAGGGCUUGACUCUGAGCCAGCCCAAGACAUUGGCGAGGAGAGGUCUGGUGGCAGAGGAAGGCAGGGCGGGUUGCUGGGCAGAGACUUGCAAGGUCUUUUCACCGGGGCCUUGCAGCGGAGCAGCCUGUGAGGCUGCCAGGCAGCACUGUUCUCACCUCCGUCUUACAGAUGAGGAAACGGAGGCCCAGAGAGGGGAGGGACCUGCCCAGGGCCACAGAGCAAGGGACAGAGCAGAGUCCAACAGGCAGGUCUGCUGGCUUCUCCGCAAGCUCUUCCCAUCACCUUCCGAAGGUCUCCAGCAGGAGCCUGGAGAGGGGUCCAGAGACAUUUGGGCGCAGAAUUCCCAGGGCUCUCAGCUCCUGACCGGAGCCCUCACCCUCUCUGGCCCUGCCCAUGGGACACUGGGCUAAGCUAGCAAGGCUGGACUGACCCUGGCACAGCCCUGGCUGGGGCCAUCUGUUUUUUUUGUUUUUGAGUUGCAGUCUCACUGUGUCACCAGGCUGGAGUGAGUGGCUCGGUCUCAGCUCACUGCAGCCUCCGCCUCCCAGGUUGAAGUGAUUCUCCUGCCUCAGCCUCCCGAGUUGCUGGGAGUACAGAGCCAGCAUCACCCGCGUCCCCUUCUAUGACCUGGUCUCCACUCGGAAGAAGAAGAUCGCCAGCCAGCAGUGAGAUUCCUGGAGGCAGCCCUGGGGCGGUCAUCCCGGGAGCCCCACCCCCCACCCCAUGCACCCUUUUGGGCCGCAGACAUCACUGCGCCCCCCCGCCCCCCAUUACCUCGAGCUGACUCUUGAUGGGAAAGCAGAGGUCAGGAGGGUGGGUGGUGGGUACAGUGGGCUCAGAGUCCAGCAAUGAGGUCCCCUGGCCUGGGCACCCAGCUGCAGGCCCCUGCCCUAUGUGCACUACAGGAAGGGGUGAGGAGGGCAGCCAGAGGAAACCGGCCCAGAGCGCAGCAUCCCUUCUUCUCUCUGGGCCCCAGUGCCCUCAGCUCUGAAGGAGCGCUUUGCGCUUUGAGAUGCUGUCAGCCCUCAAAGCAGGAGGGGCUGUGGGGUCCCUGCGUGCUGCUUCUCCUUGGCAAGGCUCUUCCUUCGGCUCAAGUUCUCUCUGCCAGCCCCUCCUCUGUCCUCAGGUUGGGCUUGACCCUCCCUGCCUGAGCAGAGCUCAGCGCACACGGCUCAGACCCACAGAUAGGACCGGGGACAGAACCCCAGGACCUGCCCUAGGAGCCCAGACUCCGCGGGCUCAGUCCCAGCUCCGUCUCUGACUCGCUGUGUGCCCUCUGCCAAGUCAUGCCCACUCUCUAGUUCUUGCAAAACUGCAGUGUUGGGACUGGAAACGUCUCGGGCCCUGCCAGCCCUGUGCCCAGCUUCCGGCUGGAGAUGGCAGCGCUUGUUUACAGAGCCAGGCAGACUCUGGAUUCAAGGUUGAGGGCGAUAGAAGAGCACUGUGGACUCCACCUUCCAGGAUGCCCAUUUUGGGGAGAGGAGCAGGAGGGACCCUCAAGAAAAUGAUGGAGAGCAUCCCGGACAGAUGGGAUUCAAGCAAGAUGGGUGCUCCAUCCAAGAAGCCAAGAAGAGAGAGUCUUGCACACUGUGGUUACCAGGAGGGCUGCCUGGAGGCAGUGGCUGAGCCAGCAAGUAACACAGAGCCCAUGCUUGGAGAGGCAGAGUCUUGGCCAGGGCUUCCCUGCGAGACAGCUGACCAACAGCCCCAUGGUGAUGAGGGGCAGCCUGCAGGUCCCAGCAUCUCGGGACCCUCUGCAGCAGUAUCAUCAGAGUAGAGCCGACUCCCAGUACCCAGGCAGCCAGCUGUGUCUCCAGGGAGCCCUGGCCCAGAGGAGGAGUCCUCUAACAGGAAGCACUUCUCGCCCCUUCACACAGGCCUGGGGGAGCCCCUGGAGGGAAAUUCCUUGGCAGGGGAGCAGGAAAUGUGGCUGCCCCACUGCCAGCCUGAGUCAGCGAGGAAGCAGGUGGAUUCCCCGGAGGAACCGAAGCUCACCAGGCACCCCGCCCCAUCCCCACCCACCCCCAAAUGUGCACACCUUCCUCAGGCUCAGGAUGGAGUAGCAGCCUCAUGAGGUGGUGAGACUCCUGUCUCCGGAGGUGUGCAAGCACCCGGUAGUGACAUUGUACCAGACAAGGUCUGGGUUGGGCAUCUACAGGACGAGACUUUGCAGGACAGUUGAGGACAUCCACAGAUCCUUGUCAGCCUAUGAACUAAGCCCCGCCUCUGUCACCUCAUUGGCUCAUGAAAGAGCAGCUGGGCUGGUGGAAGGAGCACUGGGCUGGGGUCAGGGGUCAGAGACUCUGUCCUGCCCCUGUACACACCAGCUACUCCCUUAGUCUGCUCCAGUCUCCUUGCUGGUCCUCAGCUUCCUCCAGCAUGGAGGGGAUGGAUUUUCUGGGCAUAAGUGGUGGUUCUAGGAGUCACUCCGAAAAGAGAAUAAAACUCAUGAUCCAACUCA